UUGAAAGGCUACAAGAGAAAAAGGCCAGGUUUUGAAGGGAAGAAUACAAUUCCUCGGAUUUUCAUGGAUGGAAUUAAUUGCACGUGCAUAUACACUACACUGAAAAGUUUGUAGCAGAGUUCGAAUCUGAAACCUGAUAAAGUUGUGCAAAGUCCAACUUUGUUUUAUGUACACUUAUGUGAUGGAUAAAGCAAGUUGGAUUUCCAAUAUGUUCAAUAAAUUCCAAA
rnacentral:misc_RNA from 1 species